AUUGAACGCUGGCGGCAGGCCUAACACAUGCAAGUCGAGCGGAGCGGCGGACGGGUGAGUAAUGCCUAGGAAUCUGCCUGGUAGUGGGGGAUAACGUCCGCAAACGGGCGCUAAUACCGCAUCCUAUCAGAUGAGCCUAGUGCGGAUUAGCUAGUUGGUGGGGUAAAGGCCUACCAAGGCGACGAUCAGUAACUGGUCUGAGAGGAUGAUCAGUCACACUGGAACUUAGACACGGUCCAGACUCCGACGGGAGGCAGCAGUGGGGAAUAUGGGACAAUGGGCGAAAGCCUGAUGCAGCCAUGCCGCGUGUGUGAAGAAGGUCUUCGGAUUGUAAAGCACUUUAAGUUGGGAGGCGUUACCAGCAGAAUAAGCACCGGCUAACUUCGUGCCAGCCGCCGCGGUAAUAC
rnacentral:rRNA from 1 species